AGCCCCGGACCUGCAGGUGGGGGUGGUAGCGGCACAUGGGGGUCCUCGCCCACCGCGUUGCCUUCUCUCCGCCUCAGAAUCUCCCUCACCCCAGGGCCAGGUCGCUAGCGACCUCCCGAGGGCGAGGCCGGCUUGGGGACACUGUGGGGCCCGGGGACCCACCCAGUCUUCGAGACUCUAUUUGCGUAACGGAGACGGCUCGCUUCCUCCCCGCCCCUCCGCCGCGCUCUUCCUCCCUCCUCCCCCAGUCUACCCACUAUGCAUCCCGGGUACCCCGGCUCCUCCGACUACUACUCAGCGGACCUACCCGGACUCCCGCGUGGGGCUCCCAGCUCCUGGCUUCUCCUGCCCGCGCCCCGCGCGGAGUCAGCAGGCACCUGGGGGCGGGAGGCCUGGGCAGGGCCGGGCUGGAGAAGACGCUGGGGCAGUGCCCCGCACUAACAAAGGGAGCCCGCCGCUGGCCGGCGUGGGCGCAAAGCGGGCGGCCGCUGCGGAGUCCGCCAAGGAGCUGCAGCCUCCGCGGCAGAGUGCGCAGCGACCAGUUGUGUCAAGAGCUCUGCAGUGAGCAGCAGGGAGGGAGAGAAGCAUUGAAAGCGAUGGAGACCGGCUGAAAUGACCUGGCCCCUUGAGCCUCUCCCAAGCCCUGGUGCCAGAUUUCUGUUGCAGCGCUGAGGUAAGAUCCUUUGAAUCCCAGCUUGGGAAGAGAGAGGGCAGAAUGCCUCCUAUUGUGGGGCGAUGGAAGCU
rnacentral:lncRNA from 1 species